rnacentral:lncRNA from 1 species
AAGCACCAUGAGUCAUGUGCUUUGCGAAACGUUUAUAAAUUAAAAAAUAGAUAAUCUAUAAAAUUUAGCUUGAAGUGCAUAUUACUAGUCCAUUGUUGAGUAUUUGCAGCUUGCAAACAUCGAGAUUUCCUUCAUAAUUUGGGCUGGGACUUUGACUCCAAUAUAAGUUAUAUAUUAAUGAUCAAUGUACUAGAAAUUUCACAUCUAGUGAGUCAGUUAAGAAGCUUGACCUGGAGAUUGAAGAUCUGUGAGAUUAGGCCCAGAAUUGGCUAUUGGACUGAAGUCGGCAGGCCCAAGUGACUUCAGUUUAAUGCCGAAGGAAGAAUUAGAGAGAAUUGCAAUAGCGAUCCUUUGCUUUGUCUUCUUCGGAAAGAUAAGGCCGUAGAGUCAUGGCCGACUCUGUGGGGAGGUAGAACGGCCGCUAGCUGUUCGAUCGAGCUUCUCUUCGGAAGCCUUCCCUAUAAAUCUCUACUUACCUUUUCGAUUGAUCCUCUACUGAGCCCCCAUCUCUCCUCUCUUGCCUCUAGCAACUGACACAUCACCAUCUUUGAGUUCUGCCGAGCCUUAUCCCCUCUUUCUUAUGCUUCUCCGGCGGCCGAUGUGCUACCCCAACC